GCCUGAGUGGCUCAGUUGGUUAAGCGUCUGACUUCGGCUCAGGUCAUGAUCUCGCUGUUCCUGGGUUUGAGCCCCACAUCAGGCU
rnacentral:tRNA from 1 species